rnacentral:rRNA from 1 species
GACGAACGCUGGCGGCGUGCUUAACACAUGCAAGUCGAACGGAAAGGCCCUGCUUUUGUGGGGUUCUCGAGUGGCGAACGGGUGAGUAACACGUGAGUAACCUGCCCUUGACUUUGGGAUAACAUCAGGAAACUGGGGCUACUACCGGAUAGGAGCUCCUGCUGCAUUGUGGGGGUUGGAAAGUUUCGGCUGUUGGGGCUGGACUCGCGGCUUAUGAGCUUGUUGGUGGGGUAGUUGCUUACCGAGGCAUGCACGGGUAGCCUGCCGGAGAGGGAGGCCAGCGACAUUGGGCCUGAGGUAGGGCACAGUGUGCUGCGGGAGGCAGCAGUGGGGAUUCUUGCACAGUGAGCGGAAGUGGGAGGAAGCAACGUCGCGUGCGUGAUGACGGCCUUCGGGUUGAAAACAGCUUUCGCCUGUGACGAAGCGUGAGUGACGGUACUUGGUGAAGAAGCACCGGCUAACUACGUG